rnacentral:rRNA from 1 species
GCCUAAUUUGACUCAACACGGGGAACCUCAUCAGGCCAGGACACCGGAAGGAUUGACAGAUUGAGAGCUCUUUCUUGAUUCGGUGGGUGGUGGUGCAUGGCCGUUCUUAGUUCGUGGAGUGAUUUGUCUGCUUAAUUGCGAUAACGAACGAGAUCCUACCCUACUAACUAGUCGAAACCGGCAUCCCCUGUGCAGCCGGCGACCAACACUCUUCUUAGAGGGACAGGCGGCUUCCAGCCGCAGGAAGUGGGGCAAUAACAGGUCUGUAAUGCCCUUAGAUGUUCUGGGCAGCACGCGCGCUACACUGAAGGGAUCAACGUGUGUUUUCCUUGCUCGAGAGGGCCGGGUAACCCGUUGAAACUCCUUCGUGCUAGGGAUUGGGGCUUGCAAUUAUUCCCCACCAACGAGGAAUGCCUAGUAAGCGGGAAUCAUUACUUCCUGCUCAUUAAGUCCGCCCAUA